CUCCAAAAUACUAUGGAUUUAUUUUUGGUUUUUGUUGCAAUUAUUGCGCAAUCUUAUAUUACUUUUUGGCUCAAAUGAUUAUUGUCAAAGUUCUCUUGGACAUCGAUCCAUCAUAAUUAAAUACUAGUAAUCUCCAAUAACACCAACAAUCAAUCCUAAUUAAGCCCAUUGUAAAAAGAAAAAUGUAUGUUCCAUAAAGAUCUGAAAAUAACAUUUAUUCACUCAAAAUGAAAUUAAAUACACAAUUACAGAAC
rnacentral:lncRNA from 1 species